CAUAGCCAUGGUAACAGGCCGCACAGCAUUUUUUAAAUACAUGACGCUAAGCAUGAGAUGUUAAUUGCUUAAUUAAUUCAGGAGCCACACCUGUGUGGAAGCACCUGCUUUUGUUUCCCUCAUUUAGGUAGUUACGUGUCUGCCAGUUGAUCUAACGGUGGUCUCAAACUCAAUUCCACAGAGGGCCGAGUGUCUUCAGGUUCACUUCACCUUUGUAUGUGAUCGAUCAAUUAAGGUUAUUGAUUAGUUAGUAACUCCCCUCACCUGGUUGUCUAGGUCUUAAUAGAUUAGUGAGUAACUCCCCUCACCUGGUUGUCUAGGUCUUAAUAUAUUAGUGAGUAACUCCCCUCACCUGGUUGUCUAGGUCUUAAUAUAUUAGUUAGUAACUCCCCUCACCUGGUUGUCUAGGUCUUAAUAGAUUAGUGAGUAACUCCCCUCACCUGGUUGUCUAGGUCUUAAUAUAUUAGUUAGUAAAUCCCCUCACCUGGUUGUCUAGGUCUUAAUAUAUUAGUUAGUAACUCCCCUCACCUGGUUGUCUAGGUCUUAAUAGAUUAGUGAGUAACUCCCCUCACCUGGUUGUCUAGGUCUUAAUAGAUUAGUGAGUAACUCCCCUCACCUGGUUGUCUAGGUCUUAAUAGAUUAGUGAGUAACUCCCCUCACCUGGUUGUCUAGGUCUUAAUAUAUUAGUUAGUAACUCCCCUCACCUGGUUGUCUAGGUCUUAAUAGAUUAGUGAGUAACUCCCCUCACCUGGUUGUCUAGGUC